UACAGAGGGGGCAAGCGUUGUUCGGAAUUACUGGGCGUAAAGGGCGCGUAGGCGGCCUGCUAAGUCGAACGUGAAAUCCCUGGGCUCAACCCAGGAACUGCGUCCGAUACUGGUUGGCUUGAAUCCGGGAGAGGGAUGUGGAAUUCCAGGUGUAGCGGUGAAAUGCGUAGAUAUCGUAAGGAAGACCAGCGGCGAAGGCGGAUCUCUGGACAGUUACUGACACUGAGGCACGAAGGCCAGGGGAGCAAACGGG
rnacentral:rRNA from 1 species